AGAGUUUGAUCCUGGCUCAGGACGAACGCUGGCGGCGUGCCUAAUACAUGCAAGUCGAGCGAAUUGAAGGGAGCUUGCUCCCUGAUAUUAGCGGCGGACGGGUGAGUAACACGUGGGCAACCUGCCCUGCAGAUGGGGAUAACUCCGGGAAACCGGGGCUAAUACCGAAUAAUCAGUUCUUCCGCAUGGAAGAACUCUGAAAGACGGUUUCGGCUGUCACUGCAGGAUGGGCCCGCGGCGCAUUAGCUAGUUGGUGGGAUAACGGCCUACCAAGGCGACGAUGCGUAGCCGACCUGAGAGGGUGAUCGGCCACACUGGGACUGAGACACGGCCCAGACUCCUACGGGAGGCAGCAGUAGGGAAUCUUCCGCAAUGGACGAAAGUCUGACGGAGCAACGCCGCGUGAGUGAUGAAGGUCUUCGGAUCGUAAAACUCUGUUAUCAGGGAAGAACAAGUAUCGGAGUAACUGCCGGUACCUUGACGGUACCUGACCAGAAAGCCACGGCUAACUACGUGCCAGCAGCCGCGGUAAUACGUAGGUGGCAAGCGUUGUCCGGAAUUAUUGGGCGUAAAGCGCGCGCAGGCGGUCCUUUAAGUCUGAUGUGAAAUCCCGUGGCUUAACCACGGGCGGUCAUUGGAAACUGGGGGACUUGAGUGCAGAAGAGAAGAGCGGAAUUCCACGUGUAGCGGUGAAAUGCGUAGAGAUGUGGAGGAACACCAGUGGCGAAGGCGGCUCUUUGGUCUGUAACUGACGCUGAGGCGCGAAAGCGUGGGGAGCGAACAGGAUUAGAUACCCUGGUAGUCCACGCCGUAAACGAUGAGUGCUAAGUGUUAGAGGGUUUCCGCCCUUUAGUGCUGCAGUUAACGCAUUAAGCACUCCGCCUGGGGAGUACGGCCGCAAGGCUGAAACUCAAAGGAAUUGACGGGGGCCCGCACAAGCGGUGGA
rnacentral:rRNA from 1 species